AUCCCUUCUCGGCCUUUUGGCUAAGAUUCAAGUGUAGUACCUGUUCUCAUCAGCUUAAUCACUAAUCAAAUCAGUAAUCAGAAAAAAGUAUGUGAGGAAAAGUAAA
rnacentral:snRNA from 1 species